rnacentral:rRNA from 1 species
AGAGUUUGAUCCUGGCUCAGGAUGAACGCUGGCGGCGUGCCUAAUACAUGCAAGUCGAGCGAACGGACGAGAAGCUUGCUUCUCUGAUGUUAGCGGCGGACGGGUGAGUAACACGUGGAUAACCUACCUAUAAGACUGGGAUAACUUCGGGAAACCGGAGCUAAUACCGGAUAAUAUUUUGAACCGCAUGGUUCAAAAGUGAAAGACGGUCUUGCUGUCACUUAUAGAUGGAUCCGCGCUGCAUUAGCUAGUUGGUAAGGUAACGGCUUACCAAGGCAACGAUGCAUAGCCGACCUGAGAGGGUGAUCGGCCACACUGGAACUGAGACACGGUCCAGACUCCUACGGGAGGCAGCAGUAGGGAAUCUUCCGCAAUGGGCGAAAGCCUGACGGAGCAACGCCGCGUGAGUGAUGAAGGUCUUCGGAUCGUAAAACUCUGUUAUUAGGGAAGAACAUAUGUGUAAGUAACUGUGCACAUCUUGACGGUACCUAAUCAGAAAGCCACGGCUAACUACGUGCCAGCAGCCGCGGUAAUACGUAGGUGGCAAGCGUUAUCCGGAAUUAUUGGGCGUAAAGCGCGCGUAGGCGGUUUUUUAAGUCUGAUGUGAAAGCCCACGGCUCAACCGUGGAGGGUCAUUGGAAACUGGAAAACUUGAGUGCAGAAGAGGAAAGUGGAAUUCCAUGUGUAGCGGUGAAAUGCGCAGAGAUAUGGAGGAACACCAGUGGCGAAGGCGACUUUCUGGUCUGUAACUGACGCUGAUGUGCGAAAGCGUGGGGAUCAAACAGGAUUAGAUACCCUGGUAGUCCACGCCGUAAACGAUGAGUGCUAAGUGUUAGGGGGUUUCCGCCCCUUAGUGCUGCAGCUAACGCAUUAAGCACUCCGCCUGGGGAGUACGACCGCAAGGUUGAAACUCAAAGGAAUUGACGGGGACCCGCACAAGCGGUGGAGCAUGUGGUUUAAUUCGAAGCAACGCGAAGAACCUUACCAAAUCUUGACAUCCUUUGACAACUCUAGAGAUAGAGCCUUCCCCUUCGGGGGACAAAGUGACAGGUGGUGCAUGGUUGUCGUCAGCUCGUGUCGUGAGAUGUUGGGUUAAGUCCCGCAACGAGCGCAACCCUUAAGCUUAGUUGCCAUCAUUAAGUUGGGCACUCUAAGUUGACUGCCGGUGACAAACCGGAGGAAGGUGGGGAUGACGUCAAAUCAUCAUGCCCCUUAUGAUUUGGGCUACACACGUGCUACAAUGGACAAUACAAAGGGCAGCGAAACCGCGAGGUCAAGCAAAUCCCAUAAAGUUGUUCUCAGUUCGGAUUGUAGUCUGCAACUCGACUACAUGAAGCUGGAAUCGCUAGUAAUCGUAGAUCAGCAUGCUACGGUGAAUA